CAUCCCUGCGGCCAGAAUAUAUUAAACUACUGUAUGAAUGAUGACACCAAUAGAGAGUUUAUCUACACUCCUUCCCUUCUCCUCGUCUGUCUCUUUACUUAAGCAGGAGGUAUAGGUUGCCUAGCAACUUGAUUAAAUCCACCACUUCCGCUGAGCACAGCGGAAGUCUGACGAUGAUUACAAGCUAAUGAGCACAUCGCAGCCUUUGCUUAUUAACUAAUUAUACAGAUUACCUGACGACUUGCCGAUCAUCGAUGUCCACCGAAUGGCAGAUCGGAUCAGCAGAAUGGGGAAUUGGGUCAGAGAUAAUCAGAAUCACACCCCAGGUUCCUGCUGCAGCUGCUCCUGUGAAAGUUUUCUGAUCUCUCUCUCACUCUCCCUUUUCCGCAUUGUGGAGACAGGAGCCUGGAUUAUACCCUCCACACUGCAGCCUGGCUCCUUCCACCAAGAGCAGGCCUACCACCCGGCUGCAGCUAGUCCCUCUCAUCUCUGGAUAGAAGUAACAGAAAUAAAACAAGAGACCGGUAAAGUGCUGCAAUAAUAACACAGGAGACAGUGGACACCAGAACAUCUUCUGAGUAUACGUUAUUAUCUGUGUAAUUACACAUCGUGUUACUCAGUCUGCAGGGUAACACGUUAUCUCUCCACAGUUAUCCUUACUGUACAUGAAAAAAACUCUCUCUAUAGAGGUACCAGACUAGGUCAAUGAUCGCCUCAUAGGAGCAGCAUUCUUAAAAGGAGUUGAAGCAAAGUCAUUAUCUGAAACAAAAACAGCUGUGAUGGAGGCUUAAAACUGGGCGAAGAACAGCCAAUCUCUGCUACAAAGGUGAGAUUGUGGAAGCUAGUUUCAUGUCACAGGUCAUACACCAUGGCGAGACUGAGCCCAGCAACAAGACAAAAAGGUAGUCAUACUGUAUCAGCAAAGUCUCUCCCAGGCAAAUAAUUCAAAGCAGACUGGGGUUUCAAUAUGUGCUGUUCAAGCUCUUUUGAAGAAGCACAAAGAAACACACAACGUUAAGGACCGUAAAGGCAGUGGUCGGCUAAGGCAUCAGAUGAAAGACACAUUAUGCUUACUUCACUUUGAAAUCAGAAAAUGUCCAGCAGUGCCAUCAACUCAGAAUUGGCAGAAGCCAGUGUGACUCGGGUAAACCAUCUACGGUUCAGAGAAGUCUGGCCAGAAGUAGUCUUCAUGGAAGAAUUGUGGCCAAAAAGCUAUACCUUCCACAUGGAACCACUUUCAAGUGACUCAAUUAUGCAUGAAAACAUAGGAACUGGGGUGCAGAAAAAUGGCAGCACAUGCACUGGACUGAGGAGUCAAAAAUGUAAAUAUUUGGUUGUAACAAAAGGCAGUUUGUUCGCUGAAGGGCUGGAGAGCAGUACAAUAAGGUUGUGGUCGGACGGACCUCACAGUGGAAUGCACUGGGCAUAACUGUGACCCAGGGAUCCUGUUUUGAGCCCUCCACUUCAAUGGAUUUGGAAGAAAAUGUCACAGAGUAGCAACAAUAGAUACCAGAAAGCAAAGGUGUGGGGGUCCUGGUUUGACCUCCCAUUGGUGUAUGCUAGGAACGUUCACACAUUGAGCGUGUUCAGGGCCUUCCACAGGAUGGAUUUGGAUGAAAACUUUAAUGUACUGUAAUAACUGAUACGAAUAACCAUAAUUCAGUGACCUGAAAUAACAGAGAUAAAAUGGAGGUGGAAAGACAAAAAAUGUUGUGUAUCCAAAAGCCUUGACAUAGCAACAUUUAAACCCAUCUCGCAAUGGAAAAGUAAUUACAAAAUUGAUCAGAAAUUUAAGCAUCGGAUCAGACAUUGGCAUUUCUAUAAUGGGGGCCCACACUGCACACACUAUAUCAAUGUUUUAUUACUUACCUUUCAGAGUCCCAUGUCAGAGCUGCAGUCACAGUAAAAGUCGCCAGCAAAAGGUCCACCGUGCAUGCUCAGUAGGGUUUUAGUCUCCGUAACAUGGCUGGCACCAUGUUACCGGAGACCUGCACAUGCGCAGUAGACUUUUGCACAAUGCCAGAGUCUAUUGCACUGUGAAGAGGAGCGCCCCCCCCCCCCCAGAGUCUGCACACUGGUCCCGUCCUCUGUUAAAAUGUCACUAGGAUCAGGACUACUGGCGACACCCUAAAAACAAAAAAAAGAACACUGGGCAGCCACCUUAUGGGUGUGUUGGAAGAGCUGCUAAUUACAUCCAACUAAUUGAUUACUUAAUCACUGGAAAAUGUAAACCUGGGCAAUGCAGCAAGCGGAUAGAUAGGAUGGACAGAUUACGCUUGCCUGGCUGUCGGGAUCCCGGCGCCAGUAUGCUGGGCCAUAAUGCCGGCAGCGGGGCGAGCACAAAAGAGCCCUUUGCACACUAUUUAUACACCCACACACACAUACAUACAAAUACGCAAUCCAUGGAAUUGCAGUAGUCAAGAUUAAAAAAUAAAAAGAUCAUGGAUAUGCUAGAGUUACAAAUAUAUAGAAAAAGUGACAAAGGAAAAACUACAUUUAGGAGGCAUAAGCCUCAUCUUAAACAAGAUUUGUACUGUAUCUCCAAUCUAUGUUACAUAAGAGGUCACAUAACAAAAUCUUUACAGGAAGAAUGGCUCUAUUACAGACUAUCUUUUUCCUUUCCGUUACAAAGCAGUUACAGGAUAUCCGCCUAUUUUAGGUUUAUGUGCAGCAGUACAAUAACCCUGGCUUCCAUGCUUUUUACUAGCGAAUGCAAACUACAAACAGGGGGGGAUAAUUAAAUAAAUGCUGCUCAUUUCACCCACAAAUACUGCCAUGGAUGUACAGCAAUAAUUUAUACUCCAUAUAAAAUAAAGCUACUGUGGAUUUCUUAUAUUGGCACUAUAUGGAAAAAUAAAAGUACUUAAAUCUUCAAGAACGAGAUUCAUUCAUAAAUGUAAAAAUGCUUAAGUAGUAUUUUAUGGGUUGUGUAUGUCUGGUCAGCAUACAGACUGUGGGAUCCCGGCAUUUAGAUGCCCGGUAGAGGUGGUGAGCACUACAAAGCUCCUUGCGGCCUCGCUGCGCUCGCCACGCUGUGGGCUUGGUGGCAAUAGUCCCUGUUGGUCUGCAUGCCAACCGUCGGGAUAGUGAGGGAUUGGGAUGUAGGCAGUAGCGGAUUUACUGCUAGGCGACAUAGGCGUCCGCUUAGGGCCCGGCAGCUUGCAGGGGGCCCACUGACAGGGUUGAAUUCAUAGCCGCCAUCACGUGGGACUGGUGGGAGGCUCAGACAGAAUGGAGUAACAGCCCCGCCCAUAACUGACAUGGGCAGGCCCGAUGCUACCCGCUCAGAAGGGUCUGCAAAGUAGGGAGGUGCCAGUCUGGAGAGGUGCUCUCCCUACCCUGCUGCUCUCCGCUCUGUGCUCUUACUGCCAACUGCAUGAUGAAAUGCGGCUCGGAGCUCUUUAGUCAGCUCACACACUGAUCUCCAGUCACUUCUUCUCAGGAGCGCACGCAGAGGGGGGGAUUCACCCCCCUGUGCACACACUAACAGGCAGCCUGCAUCUCCCUCCGCACAGGCAGUCAGAAACUCUCUGCUCUGUCAGUGUACUUUACGUUACUGCUCCUGUACUGUGAUAUGAGGCAAGGAACAUUCUCCCUGCAUUCUUUCUCUGGGGGUCAUUCUGACCCAAUCGCACGCUGCAGUUUUUCGCAGCAUAGCGAUCGGGUCAGAACUGCGCAUGCGCCGGCGCUGCAGUGCGCUGGCGCAUGGCCGCCCGUCG